GGCCAACAAAAGAAAUGGGGGAAACCAAAUUCACUUGCCAAAAACCUAACUAUCGCCCCAAAAAAGAAUCAUUCUCUAAAAACCCUAACUAUCGCCCCCAAAAGCCGUCGGCCGGCAACUUCGAGCUCCGCUCAGCUGUUGAGAUCUACCCUCGCCCUCACCAAUGUAAUUGAUCCUCGCUUGCCAACUCUUGUGAGAUUUACCUUACUCGACAUAAAAACCUAAAUCGUCCUUUGCGGAAGCCCUAGCAACUUCGACCACAAAUCUGAGCUUCACCGACUACCUUCAUCGCAACUCCGUUUUCAAAUGUACAUUUGACGACACUAAUACCAUCAGUUAGCGAGGAAGCAAUUAAUCUUAUCGCGUUACUCUGCUCCUGGGAUCCCAUCAAAAGGCCCACUGCAGCAGAUGCCCUUCGGCAUUCUUUCUUCCAGUCGUGCUUAUACAUCCUACCAUCUCUUCGUGGAAAGCAAUGGGACCCCCAAAAACACCUCCAGUCUGUUGGGAAUAGAAGUUCCAUGGAACAGAAGAGUGCUGCUAGAAGAUACUCUACUGGUGCUCUAUCAAAUACAAAACCAACAAGCAACCUGCUCACAUCAAAUCUAAAUGCUUCUGCUAUGACAACUAUACAACAGAAGAUGGAGAUGGAUCAUCAGCUUGUAUUUCGUUGUAAAACCAGCUUAUCAAAGGAGAUGAUCAGUUUUUCUAUUUCUAAAUCUCCAUUGUUUGUAGUAGGAUGAAGGUUGCCAGGCGAUGGAUGAUGAAGGGGAGAAUAUUUUGGAUAGAAUCAGUUGGAAGGAGUCAAAACAUUGGGAGAGACUCGAUGAAGGAAGAACUCGUCUUGAUAAUUAAUGGGCUAGCCAUGAUCUUUAUCAUUCAAAUUCUAAUUAUUCACGGUUUAUUACUUCACUGUCAUAGGUCUUUGAAUAGGUUUCCAUUUGUUAGAUUUACAUUUCAGUUAAGAGUCAUAGGAUGUAGAGAAGUUGUGAACCUUGUAAAUGGUCUAAACUUAAAGUUUUAUAGUUGAUUAUCACUUUAUUGAAUUUA